CAGUCGCCGCGGGAAUACAGAGGGUGCAAGCGUUAAUCGGAAUUACUGGGCGUAAAGCGUGCGUAGGCGGCUAAUUGAGUCGGAUGUGAAAUCCCCGAGCUUAACUUGGGAAUUGCAUUCGAUACUGGUUAGCUAGAGUGUGGGAGAGGAUGGUAGAAUUCCAGGUGUAGCGGUGAAAUGCGUAGAGAUCUGGAGGAAUACCGAUGGCGAAGGCAGCCAUCUGGCCUAACACUGACGCUGAGGUACGAAAGCAUGGGGAGCAAACAGGAUUAGAUACCCCCGUAGUCCCUGUCUCUUAUAA
rnacentral:rRNA from 1 species